rnacentral:lncRNA from 1 species
UACCUGUCCAGGUGUCCCCAGGUGUGUCCAGGUGGGAUUUGAGGGCUGGGACAGGUGGGAUUUACCUGUCCAGGUGUGUCCAGGUGUGUCCAG